rnacentral:rRNA from 1 species
GUGUCAGCCGCCGCGGUAAUACGGAGGGCGCAAGCGUUGUUCGGAAUUACUGGGCGUAAAGCGCGUGUAGGCGGUCUGGUAAGUCGGUUGUGAAAUCCCCGGGCUCAACCCGGGAACUGCAUCCGAAACUUCCAGGCUAGAGUUUCGGAGAGGAAGGCAGAAUUCCCAAUGUAGGGGUGAAAUCCGUAGAUAUUGGGAGGAAUACCAGUGGCGAAGGCGGCCUUCUGGACGAUGACUGACGCUGAGACGCGAAAGCGUGGGGAGCAAACAGGAUUAGAUACCCUCGUAGUCC